rnacentral:lncRNA from 1 species
UUUCAUAUUCAUAAUUUAUAUUAAUGUAUAAUAGCCAAACCACAUAAAGAUAAUCAAACAAUCCCAGGCCACUACAAUAUAUUUUUCCAAAAACCACUCCAACCUUUACACACAACAUAUUAUCACACUUUAACUUAAUUUGACCAUAUAUGGAGAGCAACUUUUGGACUAAAUGUAGCUUCUUUUUUACUCAGCACAACUAGAAGAUAAUAAGCAAACUAAAAGAUUCUACAGACUAACUAACUGAUACCAGCAAACCCUUACCAACCCUAGCUAACCCUAAAAACACAUGCAUAAAACCAGACUAUUAAAACGGGACACACGCAACAACUAGAUCACUAACACUCACACGUCUAGAUAUAUCACUCUCUCAUGGAGAUCGAUGCCACACUCUUAAUUAGUCGGCUUGACCGGGGUUGGUGGCCGGCUGCACCUUAUUCCAGGGAAGGAACAAAAGCUCGAAGACCCGAACCCUAAACCGCCAGGGCUGGGAAAAGUUCCAGUGAAUCCAGGGCUUUGAAAGGUUCCCGUUAUUGGACCUGGCAAAGUCCCACCAAAACUUCCAGUAAAGUUUUCAGGCUCAUCAACUUUCUCUUUGCCCUUCAUCUUCCUUCCUCCUUCCACACCGUCCGAUCCGAAGAACACAAGAAACACAGUGACCAUCACCAACAUUACUCUAGUAACUCUCUCCAUCUCUCUCUCCUCUUUUUGGUUACUCAUGAAGAAAUUAAGUCCCAUUUAUAUAGAAGGGAU